GCUUACAUGAAUAAAUGUAACAAUGCUCAAUUUUUCAUUGGGCGGCAAUUUUAUAUAAUAACAAUUGAUGAAAGGCCUUAGGAACAGUACACUAAUUGACCAAGUUUUGAAUCAUAUUUACGGUACUGCCACUAUUUCUUUUUGUCCAACAUAGCGAGGGAGGGGAUCAGAUAAACGGUAGAGAGAAGAAGAAAGAGAGAGAGAGAUAAUCGAAGCGACGCCAGCCUAUUCCGGUGACCAUCACUCUUCUGCCCCCGUUCCAGCGACGACGAGUGUCGUUGAUACUAGAGGUUAAUGGUGAUUAUUGACUCAAAAGGAAGCAAACCAUAGCGCCUAAGGUUCUAGCAGAACUCCGGCGAGUCAGACAUGUUGUGCGUGUUCCGUUUUGGUGUAGAUCGGCAAGCACCAAGGUACCGAUGUGUGAAGGAAUCAAGGAAAUGCGUGACACAGACUAACAUAGAAACGGGACGGGAGUGAAGAUAGAGAUAGUGUCCUCCACCAAUCCUUACGGCGGACUCACGGCAGCGCACCGACGGUGACAAGCGACAGUGGUUCCAUCAAUGAUGUCGGUUCGGUGUUACAGGCGACCGGAGGACGAGGGUUCCAUCAGUGAUGUCGGUUCGGUGGUGUCCAGGUGGUGUACGGUGUCGAAGGGAGGCGGUGGCAGAAUUUGGAACUAGGGUUCCGGCCGGUUACCAUAUCCCACAGCCGAUCUGGCUUCAAGACGAUGUCCCCGGCAACAUGCAAUGGCCGGGCAGUUAGGGUUUCGCCCCAAACAGGGGGUGUUUCAUGUGGUGCUCUCCGGUGACGUCAGGUGGUGACGGAGUAACAGAAGCAGGUGACAAUAUCCGGUAACAAUUGUUUUUGGUGUCCAGGUGCAAUCCGUCGAUCGGCUGGUCUGGUCCUAAUUCUAAUAAUCAGUGUUUCGCCUUCUCUUGCACCGACGUAACUCCUGAUUCACCCGUGUUCGCUUCAAUUUACGUGUUUUAAGUAAGCUCCCAAGUCUCAGUCAUCUUUCAGGUACGUGCAGUCCGUUACGAGAUGAGGAUGGGCAACAAACGUUUCUGCAAGCACGUCAACAUACGUCUAUUCUUGCACCACAUGUUCCGAAGGAUCUGUUUUUUACUUCGUCUUCUUAUGUCGCGGGUAUUGUGAAGCACUAAAGUGCGCUUCUGGUAUGCGGAAAAUUAUUUCGUUGUCUUCCUUACAUCAAAGACCCAAGCCAGUCGCGAUAGUGGGUCAGUUUUGUUAAUUGCAGGUUGCAAUUCUUAACAUACCAGUUUCAAAGUUGUGCAUUGCUGGUAACAAGACACAUAUGUAGAGAACAAAAUUGCUCAGACCUUGACGAGUGUCAACCGUGUUACUACAAAUGAUUCAUAAUAAAUCAGAUUGCGUAGAGUGCCACUGCUGGUAAGAUUUUAUUAAUUGCAAAUUGUAUUUUAUAUUAUGUGAGCUUCAUAGUUGGUAAGUUGUAAGGGGACAAGUAUGUAAGGUACAUGUAAUGUGUCAUAUUGCAAAUGCACAUGUACUGAGUUUCAUGUUUU